UCCUAUAGCCUCCUGCACAGCGCUCACCAUGCGGCCGGCUGCACUUUCUUUGCACACAGGGACUCCAGGUGUUUUGGACUUCAACUCCCACAAUUCCUAACAGCCUACCAGCUGUUAGGAAUUGUGAAAGUUGAAGUCCAAAACACCUGGAGGGCCGAAGUUGGCCCUUGCCUACUUUCAAGCAAAAGCCGGAUGGACACCUGUUGACUGUGUGAAUCCUAGAAUGGGGCUUUCUCACAUACCAGGAUCCUAUGACUCCAUAGGAAACCUCUCAGGUUUCCUAGCAGUUCAAAUAUAUGCAAAUGUGGGUAGAUCAAUAGAUACUGCUCUGGCAGGAAGGUAAAGGUGAUCCAUGCUGGCCACAUGACCUUGGAGGGGUCUAUGGGCAAUGCUGGCUCUUCAGCUUAGAAAUGGAGAUGAGCGCCAACCCACAGAGUCAGGCACGGCUAGACAUAAUAUCAGGGGAAAAGGUUUACCUUUUACUUAUAUUUAUUUAUUCUGUAUGUCACCUUUUCUCCUCUAAAAAUGCUCUAAAGCAGACCAUAAGCAUUAAGUUUUUUACAGUUUUUUAUAUCGACCAAAAUAUCAUGAUAUAUUGAAAACAUUGACUACAAAAAUGCCUUGGAUAAUCCAGAACCUUGGAUAAGUGAGUCUUGGAUAAGUGAGACUCUAUUGUAUAUUGUAAUGAUAAAAUGAACUAAUUUUAAAAUACUAAGUUUUGAAUUUUCUGAUGAAAACCAAUUACUCAUUUAAAUUUAUGUUACAUCUAAUUGAUUGACUUUAGUUGACUUUUAGUAUUAAGAUAAUGCCAGAAUUAAGUUAUUAAUUAUAUUAGCAUAGUCUCUUAAUUAAUUAAUUAAGUUCUCACAAAUUUUACAUUUCCCAGCUGAGUCUUUAACAAACGCAAAUAAGUAAUAAGUAAGUGGAAGACAACAUUGUCUUCACGGGCCUCUUGAGAGAUUCAAUUUUCUCCUGGAAGUGGCUAAAGGAAUAGAACUGUCUUCUGGCCAGUCAUCCCUCACUGUUCUUGACCAUGAGAUAGCUGCAGUAGGGGAAAUUGGUCAGUGAUUUGAAGUGGAACAUGUAUUAGGUGUUAGCACUGAAUUCUUUUACCAAAGGAUAUUACAUACGCAAAUGUAACUGAAAGUAAUUCCGUGGUAUGUAACUAACAGACUUUUUACUUUUUCCCCAUUAUUAACACAUAAUAGUUUGAUUAACUCUAAGUAAAGUUUUGGAAUUAACACAUAGUCAGAGCACCUUGGAAGGGAUUCUCCACUAGACAUUGCAUAAAGACUCUCUCUUUUUUUGAUAUAGGAACUUAUUGCUGAAACUCUUAUCUACUUGAUGUUUGCUGGAGGAUGGAGAAAUCAACAGGGCUAAGAAAAGAGAUUACAAAUAUACAAUUAUAAGGAGUGUAAAACACAGGAGGAUUUUGAGAGGUGACAUUAUAUGACACUGCCAUAUAAUCCAGAAUAUCAAGGCAGAUACUCCACAUUAUCUACUUUGAACUGGAUAAUGAGUCUACAUUGCCAUACAAUCCAGCUCAAAGCACACAAUCUGGAUUUUCUACACUGCCAUAUAAAAUCCAGUUUACCUGUUUUGAACUCGUUUAUAUCGCAGUGUUGAUUCAUAUAAUUCAGUGGAAAGCAGAUAAUGUAGGAAGGGCCUAAAGCUGGAUCUACACUGCCAUAAAAUCCAGAUUAUCUGAUUUGAAUUUGAUUACAUGGCAAUAUAGACUCAGCAUCCACUUCAAAGCAGAUAAAGUGGAUUAUUUGCUUUGAUAACCUGGAUUUAUGGCAGUGUAGAUCCAGCCUAGGAAAUAUGGGUUGCAAGAGUUCAUAUAACUGUUUUCUUCUCUCUCAAGCUCAGUGCAAGAACGUGGGGAUAUAACAUUAGCAAUCACAUUGUUCAGCUUCAUUCUGGUAAGGUUUAUAAUAAAAAUGUUGAGUGUAUAAUAUAAUUAUAACAUUGUGUAUAAUCCAGAUUAUCAAAGCACAUAAUCCAAAUUACCUGCUUUGAACUAGAUUAUAUGAGUCUACAUUGCCAUAAAACCCAGUUCAAUGCAGAUAAUGUGGAUUUUAUAUGUGGCACUGGCAAUGUAGAUGGGACCUGAGUUAUACUUGGCAAUAAAAAAUAAAUGAUGACUACAUUUAAUAGUGUGGGCUGUAAGUAUACAAGGAUGAACAAGUAGGGAUGUGCUAUUUUAAAUUAUUCCUGUCAGGGAGAACCAAUAACUUAAUCAAUCUUAUUUCCAUUGCCAGAUGUUUUUGAAAGCUAUGCAGUUUUUGAAGUGGUCUUGUGGGAGAUAAAUUCUCUGGCAGAGAUGAAGAAGUGGGAUUUUUCUAACCUCACUGGAGUUUUUGGGACUCUCCAAACUCUCUUUUUCUCCCACCACCAAUCUUUCUUUCCCUAUGGUUCUUUCCCUAUGGUCUCUCUUUUUCUCCCACCACCAAUCUUUCUUUCC
rnacentral:lncRNA from 1 species